GCAACUUCCCGUUACCUCAGGGCACACCAUCCGUGGGACGCCCAGCAUACCCCACUCUGCCCAGGAAACCCUUCCAUCUGGUGCACGCAGACCAGCUUAGCCAGUUGACAGAGGCUGGCAGCCGUCUCACGGACAGCACUAAACUGGGAUUAUUUUAUACAAAACAACAGGGAUCUGGUCAUCAGACAAGGGAACCAUGGAACCCUCACAGAGGGUUAAGGAGAGGACAGGUCAGUUGUCCAAGUCUGUGGAACACAGCACCUCCCCUUCCCCGUGAGGACAGAAUUCACAGGUUCGGCUUCUGGUAACCCAAGGGGAAAGACUUGGAGAUCAUCUAGUGCGAUGGGGCCAGACAGUAAAUAAGGAAGAAGAGAAGGAGAAGCCUGAAGACACGCCGAGCUGCACAGCCUCCAUCAGGCCUGGGGCUCCUUUCUCUGCCAGGCCCACCCCACCUCACAGAUAAGCCUCUACCAGCGCCCUGGGAAAGUCAUCACUACCACAGCGCCACAGUGUCUCCUUGAAGUGAUUGUCAUUUCUACUUACCAACAAAGCCCUAGACCAUUUUCAACGGCCAUUGAAGCUUAACCAUCUUUGCAUACCCCAGGAAAUGACUUCUGCAUCCUUCCAGUUUUCAUGUCUUGUUUAUGAAUUAAUAAUAUCAGAGCCCUCUGUCA